rnacentral:misc_RNA from 1 species
AACUGAUACUACCUGCGGGAACCUGCGGAAGGAUCAUUAUAGAAUUGUUCGAAUCCAUACGGACAUUUUCUAAAAAUCCGUAUCCACACCGGUAGGGUUUUCUUUUCCUUUGGGGGAAGAAAAACCCUUACCGUAGGGUUCCUCACUCGCUUUUCGGAGUGGGUGUGGUUCCUGUCUGACCCAUGCCUAUAAUUUUAUUUUGUCUGAACCUGUUUAUAAUAAAUAAUAAACAAAAACAAC